rnacentral:misc_RNA from 1 species
AUGGUCUCAGGCAUUCCCAUUCCAUCUGACCUCCUCUUCACCAUAAAGAGAAGCUGCUUGGACUCUCCACUCUCUUCAAAGCUGUUUCCCCGUCAAGCUUCACAUAGUAAGCCCAGUGGAUACCUCUUUCUCUUUCUAAAAGAUUCUUGAUGUAUUCCUUUCCUUUUAAAGUUUGUUUCUGUUAAUUAAUAUCUCUACAUAUACUUUGAUUUGCUUUGCAUUUG